rnacentral:rRNA from 1 species
UUGACCUCAGAUCAGGUAGGAAUACCCGCUGAACUUAAGCAUAUCAAUAAGCGGAGGAAAAGAAACCAACAGGGAUUGCCCU